rnacentral:tRNA from 1 species
UUUAAAAUAAGUUAAUUUAAACUUUUAGGCUCAUAAUCUAACAAUAAAAAUAAAAUUUUUUUUUAAUU